rnacentral:misc_RNA from 1 species
UCUCGGCUUAUCACCGGCAGUUCCUCCAGAGUGCCCGGCCCUACCCGAUGGCAACUGAAGACGAGGGUUGCGCUCGUUGCGGGACUUAACCCAACAUCUCACGACACGAGCUGACGACAGCCAUGCAGCACCUGUGUGGGGUCCAGCCGAACUGAAAAGCUCCAUCUCUGGUGCUCGCGACCGGGAUGUCAAAGGCUGGUAAGGUUCUGCGCGUUGCUUCGAAUUGAACCACAUGCUCCACCGCUUGUGCGGGCCCCCGUCAAUUCCUUUGAGUUUCAGCCUUGCGGCCGUACUCCCCAGGCGGGGCACUUAAUGCGUUAGCGCCGGCCCUCGGGGGGUCGCUCCCCCAAGCGCCUAGUGCCCAUCGUUUACGGCGUGGACUAC